rnacentral:rRNA from 1 species
AACGAACGCUGGCGGCGCGCCUAAUACAUGCAAGUCGAGCGAGAAGGUGUAGCAAUACACUUGUAAAGCGGCGAACGGGUGAGGAAUACAUGGGUAAUCUACCAUCGAGUGGGGAAUAACCAACCGAAAGGUUGGCUAAUACCGCGUACGCCUCCGAGUCUUCGGGUUCGGAGGGAAAGCUGCACUGUGAGUGUAGCGCUCUUUGAUGAGCUCAUGUCCUAUCAGCUUGUUGGUAGGGUAACGGCCUACCAAGGCUUUGACGGGUAGCUGGUCUGAGAGGACGAUCAGCCACACUGGCACUGCGACACGGGCCAGACUCCUACGGGAGGCAGCAGUAAGGAAUAUUGCGCAAUGGGCGAAAGCCUGACGCAGCGACGCCGCGUGGGGGAUGAAGGUCUUCGGAUUGUAAACCCCUUUCGGGAGGGAAGAUGGAACGAGCAAUCGUUCGGACGGUACCUCCACGAAGCAGCCACGGCCAACUUCGUGCCAGCAGCCG